rnacentral:rRNA from 1 species
AGAACGAACGCUGGCGGCAUGCCUAACACAUGCAAGUCGAACGAUGCUUUCGGGCAUAGUGGCGCACGGGUGCGUAACGCGUGGGAAUCUGCCUUUCGGUACGGAAUAACAGUUAGAAAUGACUGCUAAUACCGUAUGAUGUCUUCGGACCAAAGAUUUAUCGCCGAGAGAUGAGCCCGCGUAGGAUUAGGUAGUUGGUGGGGUAAAGGCCUACCAAGCCGACGAUCCUUAGCUGGUCUGAGAGGAUGAUCAGCCACACUGGGACUGAGACACGGCCCAGACUCCUACGGGAGGCAGCAGUGGGGAAUAUUGGACAAUGGGCGAAAGCCUGAUCCAGCAAUGCCGCGUGAGUGAUGAAGGCCUUAGGGUUGUAAAGCUCUUUUACCCGGGAAGAUAAUGACUGUACCGGGAGAAUAAGCCCGGCUAACUCCGUGCCAGCAGCCGC